GACGAACGCUGGCGGCGUGCCUAAUCCAUGCAAGUCGAACGCUGAAGGAGGAGCUUGCUUCUCUGGUUGAGUUGCGACCGGGUGAGUAACGCGUAGGUACCCUGCCUGUUAGCGGGGGAUAACUUUUGGAAACGAAGGCUAAUACCGCAUAAGAGUAGAUGUUGCAUGACAUUUGCUUAAAAGGUGCAAUUGUAUCACUCCUAGCUGGACCUGCGUUGUAUUAGCUAGUUGGUGGGGUAACGGCUCACCAAGGCGACGAUACAUAGCCGACCUGAGAGGGUGAUCGGCCACACUGGGACUGAGACACGGCCCAGACUCCUACGGGAGGCAGCAGUAGGGAAUCUUCGGCAAUGGACGGAAGUCUGACCGAGCAACGCCGCGUGAGUGAAGAAGGGUGUCGGAUCGUAAAGCUCUGUUGUAAGAGAAGAACGAGUGUGAGAGUGGAAAGUUCACACUGUGACGGUAGCUGACCAGAAAGGGACGGCUAACUACGUG
rnacentral:rRNA from 1 species